AGACGUUACUGCCCUCUUGCGUGCCCCGGCCACCCCCGGGCGGCUUGUAGCCGGUGCGCGGGGUGGCUGGGGCUACGUGCAGAGCUGUCGCGGAGCCGGAACAGCAGCGGUGAAGCCCCUCGGCUCGGCCGAGACCGCCGUGCCCAUUGCUCGCCUCGGUUGCCGCCGCUUUAGCCGCAGCCGCUGCUGCCGCCGCCGGGGGAGAGGCAGCCUAUUGUCUUUCUCCGCGGCGAAGGUGAGGAGCUGUCUCGGCUCGGCCCGCGGGGGAGCCCCGGGAGCCGCACGGAGAUGGAGGAGGACAUCUGGACAGUGAGCAGGAGGCGCCUCGGCCCAUGCCGAACAUCCCAGGGGACCUGGAGAGCCGGGAGGCCAUGGUGGCAUUUUUCAACUCCGCUGGAGCCAGUGCCCAGGAGGAACAAAGGGUGUGCUGCCAGCCCCUGGCUCACCCAGUGGCCUCGUCCCAGAAGAAGCCAGAGGUAGCGGCCCCAGCCCCAGAGAGUGGGGGUGAGUCUGUGUUUGGGGAGACCCACCGGGCCCUGCAGGGGGCCAUGGAGAAGCUGCAGCGACUUUAUGGAAGGAGAAGGUGGACCUGAAGGAGCGGGUAGAGAAACUAGAGCUUCAAUUCAUCCACCUCUCAGGACAGACAGACACCAUAGAAAGUACAUCAGCCAGGGGGCAGUGUCAGAGACGCAGCACUGGGAGAGGAGGACAUCGUCAGGCUGGCCCAGGACCAGGAGGAGAUGAAGGUGAACCUGCAGGAGCUGCGGGGCAGGUGUUGCAGCUUGUGGGCGACCACAAGGAGGGGCAUGGCAAAUUUUGACCAUUGCCCAGAACCCUGCUGAUGAGCCCACUCUAGGAGCCCCAGUAGCCCAGGAGCUUGGGUGUGCUGACGAGCA
rnacentral:lncRNA from 1 species